UACGAAGGGUGCAAGCGUUACUCGGAAUUACUGGGCGUAAAGCGUGCGCAGGCGGUUCGUUAAGUCUGCUGUGAAAGCCCUGGGCUCAACCUGGGAAUGGCAGUGGAUACUGGCGAGCUAGAGUACGGUAGAGGAAGGUGGAAUUCCCGGUGUAGCGGUGAAAUGCGUAGAGAUCGGGAAGGAACACCAGUGGCGAAGGCGACCUUCUGGACCAGUACUGACGCUCAUGCACGAAAGCGUGGGGAGCAAACAGG
rnacentral:rRNA from 1 species